rnacentral:rRNA from 1 species
GUCGGAAUUGCUAGUAAUCGCAGAUCAGCAUGCUGCGGUGAAUACGUUCCCGGGCCUUGUACACACCGCCCGUCACACCAUGAGAGUCGAUAACACCCGAAGCCUGUAGUCUAACCAUAAGGGGGACGCAGUCGAAGGUGGGAUUGAUAAUUAGGGUGAAGUCGUAACAAGGUAUC